UGCAAGUCGAGCGGAGUUGAUGAGGUGCUUGCACCUUUGAUACUUAGCGGCGGACGGGUGAGUAACACGUGGGUAACCUGCCUAUAAGACUGGGAUAACAUUCGGAAACGAAUGCUAAUACCGGAUACGCGAUAUGGUCGCAUGACUGAAUCGGGAAAGAUGGAGCAAUCUAUCACUUAUAGAUGGACCCGCGGCGCAUUAGCUAGUUGGUGAGGUAACGGCUCACCAAGGCGACGAUGCGUAGCCGACCUGAGAGGGUGAUCGGCCACACUGGGACUGAGACACGGCCCAGACUCCUACGGGAGGCAGCAGUAGGGAAUCUUCCGCAAUGGACGAAAGUCUGACGGAGCAACGCCGCGUGAGUGAUGAAGGUUUUCGGAUCGUAAAGCUCUGUUGCCAGGGAAGAAUGCUUGGGAGAGUAACUGCUCUCAAGGUGACGGUACCUGAGAAGAAAGCCCCGGCUAACUACGUGCCAGCAGCCGCGGUAAUACGUAGGGGGCAAGCGUUGUCCGGAAUUAUUGGGCGUAAAGCGCGCGCAGGCGGCCUUGUAAGUCUGUUGUUUAAACUUGGGGCUCAACCCCAAGUCGCAAUGGAAACUGCAAAGCUUGAGUACAGAAGAGGAAAGUGGAAUUCCACGUGUAGCGGUGAAAUGCGUAGAGAUGUGGAGGAACACCAGUGGCGAAGGCGACUUUCUGGGCUGUAACUGACGCUGAGGCGCGAAAGCGUGGGGAGCAAC
rnacentral:rRNA from 1 species